UUCCAGACUCCUACGGGAGGCAGCAGUGGGGAAUAUUGCACAAUGGGCGCAAGCCUGAUGCAGCCAUGCCGCGUGUAUGAAGAAGGCCUUCGGGUUGUAAAGUACUUUCAGCGGGGAGGAAGGUGUUGUGGUUAAUAACCACAGCAAUUGACGUUACCCGCAGAAGAAGCACCGGCUAACUCCGUGCCAGCAGCCGCGGUAAUACGGAGGGUGCAAGCGUUAAUCGGAAUUACUGGGCGUAAAGCGCACACAGGCGGUUUGUUAAGUCAGAGGUGAAAUCCCCGGGCCCAACCUGGGAACUGCAUCUGAUACUGGCAAGCUUGAGUCUCGUAGAGGGGGGUAGAAUUCCAGGUGUAGCGGUGAAAUGCGUAGAGAUCUGGAGGAAUACCGGUGGCGAAGGCGGCCCCCUGGACGAAGACUGACGCUCAGGUGCGAAAGCGUGGGGAGCAAACAGGAUUAGAUACCCCAGUACA
rnacentral:rRNA from 1 species